GUAAGAACAAAAACAAUUGAAAUCGUAAUAGAAAAUAAUUCAUAAAGUCGAAAAAAUCAAGAUCCCAUCCAUCUCCCGCAAUAUCUCCAAGCCUUAACCAUCACUGAUCAGCUGCAUUAAUCUACACUCUGGGCUAGGAAGAAAUCAGACCCAGCCUCGCUUCUUCAUACCAUUCUGUGUAUUUUAUUUACAACCGUUGGUGGUUCACAAAAGUCAAGGGAGAUCUUAGCCGUCCUAACUCAUUUAUACAAGCCAUCCUGCUGGAGAUGGGAUGAUUGUUUAUAGCUGCUAUAACAUAAGCAAUAACCAGAACUCACUCAUGGACGUUCCACAACCUUAAAGCAAUGAGUGAAUUAACAAAAUUGUUCAAAUCACAGGAAUAAAUGUGUUAUUAAUUUAUAACACCAACUCCAGAUGCCAUUUUACAGACACCAGUUUACAAACACCAACUUACAGAUGACAUAUUAUUUCAUAAUAUCUUUUCUCUGGAAUGUGUAAUCCAUGUGAUUUCCUUCAUGAAAUUAAUAGGAGUCAUUUAUCCGUUAUGGCUGCCCACAGUGUGCAAGCAUAGGCCUGUGUAGUCAUUAUCACCAGUGUUGGUGUCAAUGAGGCAAUGAAGAUAUGCAUGAGAUCUUUUGUAUGAUAAUUGGCUGUAGAUUAAACCAACACAUGACAAGGUGGAAAGCGUAAUCAUUUUUAUUUUAAAACACAAACCAACAAAGCGUUUUAUCAUCAUUUUCUGUCACCACUCAGAAAGUUGACCCAUAUGACCAAUAAUCCACACUUCCUUUUGAUUGUGUUGCAACAUACAGUUUACACAUGACUGCCUAAUAAUAGUUGGGGGAAUUUUUAUGGUUUGUUACAUGUUACAUUUCACUUGCAUACAGUAUCUCACAAAAGUGAGUACACCCCUCACAUUUUUGUAAAUAUUUGAUAUCUUUUCAUGUGACAACACUGAAGAAAUGUCACUUUGCUACAAUGUAAAGUAGUGAGUGUACAGCUUGUGUAACAGUGUAAAUUUGCUGUCCCCUCAAAAUAACUCAACACACAGCCAUUAAUGUCUAAACCGCUGGCAACAAAAGUGAAUACACCCCUAAGUGAAAAUAUCCAAAUUGGGCCCAAAUUGUCAAUAUUUUGUGUGGCCACCAUUAUUUUCCACACUGCCUUAACCCUCUUGGACAUGGAGUUCACCAGAGCUUCACAGGUUGCCCCUGGAGUCCUCUUCCACUCCUCCAUGACGACAUCACGGAUCUGGUGGAUGUUAGAGACCUUGUGCUCCUCCACCUUCCGUUUGAGGAUGCUCCACAUAUGCUCAAUAGGGUUUAGUCCAUCACCUUCACCCUCAGCUUCUUUAUCAAGGCAGUGGUCGUCUUGGUGGUGUGUUUGGGGUCAUUAUAAUGGAAUACUGCAUAAUGAUCAUGUUCUGCUU
ensembl:lncRNA